rfam:Schistosoma haematobium scaffold323_14, whole genome shotgun sequence.
AUUCAGCUGACAGAUCCCAAAUAGGACGAAACGCGAGUCCUGGAU